UACGUAGGUCCCGAGCGUUGUCCGGAUUUAUUGGGCGUAAAGCGAGCGCGGGUGGUUUAUUAAGUCUGGUGUAAAAGGCAGUGGCUCAACCAUUGUAUGCAUUGGAAACUGGUAGACUUGAGUGCAGGAGAGGAGAGUGGAAUUCCAUGUGUAGCGGUGAAAUGCGUAGAUAUAUGGAGGAACACCGGUGGCGAAAGCGGCUCUCUGGCCUGUAACUGACGCUGAGGCUCGAAAGCGUGGGGAGCAAACAGG
rnacentral:rRNA from 1 species